AGUCUUGAAAAAAAUUUCGUACGGUGUGCGUCGUAACAACAAGCAGCGUCUGAAAAGUUUUGUGAAUUUCCAAUUCUAUACAAAGCAAAGUGAAAAUAUCUGUAUUUUUACCUUUAUUCUGUGAAUAGAACGAAAAACAUACAUACAAGGUG
rfam:Drosophila melanogaster chromosome 3L.